GGGUACUGGAGUCUCCCACUGACAGUGUGUGGUGCUCAGUAUGUAACUUAAGGUCUUGCCCAAGCAAAACAUCACGUGAGUCUGCAUCACAUGACACUACCAGAAAUUGGCAGUUCACAUCCUGAGUGUAAGUCUAAUUAGAUUGCUCAUGAAGGCAUGAAUGUACGAUCAUCCACUGGAGCCUUGGCACCUAUAGUGUCUACAAACUCCAAAAGAAAUGAUACCCUCUCCCUCAGCAGCUAUCAAUUGCCAAAGAACAUCAUCGAGGGGAUGGAUCUGGAGAAUAUCCCCUCCAUCUGAGCAUGGAAUUAUUUCAGAAAAAUCUGUUUUUACUGUACACAAUUAUAUAAGCUCCUACGAUGUUGUAUGUGUACCGGGUGUAGGUAAUUACCUUUGAAGACAAAAGAGGCCAUUGGAUUCCCUGGAACUGGUGUUAUAUGUGGA
rnacentral:lncRNA from 1 species